rnacentral:rRNA from 1 species
GGCGGCGUGCUUAACACAUGCAAGUCGAACGAUGAACCGGUUUCGGCCGGGGAUUAGUGGCGAACGGGUGAGUAACACGUGGGCAAUCUGCCCUGCACUCUGGGACAAGCCCUGGAAACGGGGUCUAAUACCGGAUACGACCGUUUCCCGCAUGGUAUACGGGUGGAAAGCUCCGGCGGUGCAGGAUGAGCCCRCGGCCUAUCAGCUUGUUGGUGGGGUGAUGGCCUACCAAGGCGACGACGGGUAGCCGGCCUGAGAGGGCGACCGGCCACACUGGGACUGAGACACGGCCCAGACUCCUACGGGAGGCAGCAGUGGGGAAUAUUGCACAAUGGGCGGAAGCCUGAUGCAGCGACGCCGCGUGAGGGAUGACGGCCUUCGGGUUGUAAACCUCUUUCAGCAGGGAAGAAGCGCAAGUGACGGUACCUGCAGAAGAAGCGCCGGCUAACUACGUGCCAGCAGCCGCGGUAAUACGUAGGGCGCAAGCGUUGUCCGGAAUUAUUGGGCGUAAAGAGCUCGUAGGCGGCUUGUCGCGUCGGAUGUGAAAGCCCGGGGCUUAACUCCGGGUCUGCAUUCGAUACGGGCAGGCUAGAGUUCGGUAGGGGAGAUCGGAAUUCCUGGUGUAGCGGUGAAAUGCGCAGAUAUCAGGAGGAACACCGGUGGCGAAGGCGGAUCUCUGGGCCGAUACUGACGCUGAGGAGCGAAAGCGUGGGGAGCGAACAGGAUUAGAUACCCUGGUAGUCCACGCCGUAAACGUUGGGAACUAGGUGUGGGCGACAUUCCACGUCGUCCGUGCCGCAGCUAACGCAUUAAUUGCCCCGCCUGGGGAGUACGGCCGC